rnacentral:rRNA from 1 species
ACGAACGCUGGCGGCGUGCCUAAGACAUGCAAGUCGUACGAGAAAGGGGCUUCGGUCCCGAGUACAGUGGCGCACGGGUGAGUGACGCGUGGGCAACCUACCUCGAAGUCGGGAAUAACCCGGGGAAACCUGGGCUAAUGCCGGAUGAGCCUACGAGAUCCUCGGAUCAUGUGGGAAAAGAUGGCCUCUGCUUGCAAGCUAUCGCUACGAGAUGGGCCCGCGUCCCAUUAGCUAGUUGGUGAGGUAACGGCUCACCAAGGCUCCGAUGGGUAGCUGGUCUGAGAGGACGAUCAGCCACACUGGAACUGAGACACGGUCCAGACUCCUACGGGAGGCAGCAGUCGGGAAUCUUGGGCAAUGGGCGCAAGCCUGACCCAGCGACGCCGCGUGAGGGAUGAAGGCCUUCGGGUCGUAAACCUCUGUCGGGAGGGAAGAACGUCGGUGAGGUGAACAAUCUCGUCGGUUGACGGUACCUCCAAAGGAAGCGCCGGCUAACUCCGUGCCAGCAGCCGCGGUAAUACGGAGGGCGCAAGCGUUGUUCGGAAUCACUGGGCGUAAAGCGCGUGUAGGCGGCCGGGCAAGUCGGAUGUGAAAUCCCGAGGCUCAACCUCGGAACUGCAUUCGAAACUGCUCGGCUCGAGUCCCGGAGAGGAUGGCGGAAUUCCCGGUGUAGGGGUGAAAUCCGUAGAUAUCGGGAGGAACACCAGUGGCGAAGGCGGCCAUCUGGACGGUGACUGACGCUGAGACGCGAAAGCGUGGGGAGCAAACAGGAUUAGAUACCCUGGUAGUCCACGCCGUAAACGGUGAGUGCUAGACGUCGCGGGUAUUGACCCCCGCGGUGUCGAAGCUAACGCGUUAAGCACUCCGCCUGGGGAGUACGGCCGCAAGGCUAAAACCUCAAAGGAAUUGACGGGGGCCCGCACAAGCGGUGGAGCAUGUGGUUCAAUUCGAAGCAACGCGAAGAACCUUACCUGGGCUUGACAUGUUGGAGAACCUCCUCGAAAGAGGAGGGUGCCCGCAAGGGAGCUCCUUCACAGGUGCUGCAUGGCUGUCGUCAGCUCGUGUCGUGAGGUGUUGGGUUAAGUCCCGCAACGAGCGCAACCCCUAUCGUUAGUUGCCAUCGGAUCAAGCCGGGCACUCUAACGAGACUGCCGGUGUUAAGCCGGAGGAAGGUGGGGACGACGUCAAGUCCUCAUGGCCCUUAUGCCCAGGGCUACUCACGUGCUACAAUGGUCGGUACAGAGGGCCGCAAACCCGCGAGGGGGAGCAAAUCCCACAAAGCCGGCCUCAGUUCGGAUUGGAGUCUGCAAUUCGACUCCAUGAAGGCGGAAUCGCUAGUAAUCGCGGAUCAGCAUGCCGCGGUGAAUACGUUCCCGGGCCUUGUACACACCGCCCGUCACACCACGAAAGCCGGUGGAACCAGAAGUCGGUAGCCCAACCCGCAAGGGAGGGAGCCGCCCAAGGUUUGGCCGGUGAUUGGGGUG